UUCGAGUGGGCAAAAGCAGAUAGAUAAAUAGAUAGAUAGAUAAUGAAGGCAGUAAACGACAUAGUAGGAAAACUAUACUACUUUGCCCAAUCAAUAGUCAUGUAUGCAUGCAUCAUAUAGUGAGUAAUCAAUUAACAUGCAACUAUGUCCACUAACAAUGUCCAAUAAGCAUAUGUUCAAUAGACAGUGCUAUUAUCUUGUUCAACCAAUCAUUGGCGAUCCCUCGGGUUCGCCCACGACUCACCUCGCCAUCCUGUAUGGUAAGGAGACUCACCUCGCUCUCAAACCCGGGACCGCCUGCAGGACAUCAACUCUGCCCCUCUCGCGCCAAACUUCGGAGUGCACGACGACUUGUGUGGCGCGACCACCACAAGUAUAAACAGACUGUGAGUAUGAUCCAUCCUCUCAACUCGAGGAUACCCUAUCCGCUAGGCCUAUUAGUCACUCGGGAAUCCACCUAUCCCAAUGUUCAUAUGCAAGUGUUUAGCU
rnacentral:lncRNA from 1 species